UCGAAUGUUGAGGCUUUGCUAUGCACCCGUGAUUGGUUGUUUGAUUUAGAAGAUGAUGAAAACGAGGAUGAUAUCGAGGAAGAACUUGCAGAAGAUAUUGAAUCAUUGUAUCCGACAUAUGAUGAUAGCCACGUUUAGGUUGGAGGAUAUAUUCAAGGUGAUCUGAAACAGCAAAGAGGAUGAAAAAGAUGCCGAUAUUGCAGUUCGUGUCUUUUUUUU
rnacentral:lncRNA from 1 species